rnacentral:rRNA from 1 species
UCAGCAGUCCAAAAUAUUAGUCAAUGCUCGAAAGAGUGAACUAGCUAACUGAAAUCAAUUAAAAAAAUUGAUAACAUAAGGGAAAAUAAUGAUAUUACCUUAUUAUUAGUGUCGUCCAAAACUGGUGCCAGAAGACUCGGUAAGGCCAGAGACACAAACGUUAAUCGUCUUAAUCAGGCGUAAAGGGUUUGUAGGCGGCUUUUAAUUUACUUAUAAAUCUUAUAAAAUAAGUUAAGAAUAAAAGCUAGAAUCAAAUAGAGGAUAUAUCAAAUAAUGCUUAGAGUAGGUCUGAUAUCCUUAGAUACUAAGUAGAAUAUUAAAGGCGAAAGCUUUUUUCCAUAAAUGAUUGACGCUCAGAAACGAAGGUGAGGAUAGGAAAUAGGAUUAGAUACCCAAAAUACCCCUCUCUGUCAACGAUGAAUGGUAGUUAUUAAUAAUAAAUUUAUUAUUAAUGGCAAUGUUAACACGAUAACCAUUCCGCCUUGUGAGUACAACUGCAAAGUUGAAAACAAAAAAAUUAGUCGGUUUCGGAGCAAACGAAGUGAAGCAUGUUAUUUAAUUCGAUAAUCCGCAAAAAGGAAAC